rnacentral:rRNA from 1 species
AGGGCACCACCAGGAGUGGAGCCUGCGGCUUAAUUUGACUCAACACGGGAAAACUCACCCGGCCCGGACACUGGAAGGAUUGACAGAUAGAGAGCUCUUUCUUGAUUCAGUGGGUGGUGGUGCAUGGCCGUUCUUAGUUGGUGGAGUGAUUUGUCUGGUUAAUUCCGAUAACGAACGAGACUCUAGCCUACUAAAUAGAUCGUCGGCUUACAAACGCCGACGAGACUUCUUAGAGGGACAGGCGGUGAUUCAACCGCACGAAACAGAGCAAUAACAGGUCUGUGAUGCCCUUAGAUGUCCGGGGCCGCACGCGCGCUACACUGAAGUGAUCAGCGUGCUUUUUCAACCUACUCUGUCAAGAGUGGGAAACCCAAUGAACCUUCUUCGUGAUUGGGAUAGGGGAUUGUAAUUAUUCCCCUUGAACGAGGAAUUCCCAGUAAGCGCGAGUCAUAAGCUCGCGUUGAUUACGUCCCUGCCCUUUGUACACACCGCCCGUCGCUACUACCGAUUGAAUGUUUU